rnacentral:rRNA from 1 species
UGAGAUGGCCUCUCGCCCUAUUCAGUGUAACAGCUGUGGUAGUGGGUUUGGUCGCUCGCAUUUAAAUUGGAAGGGUAAUGGUGGACCGCACUUCUCCCUUAGUAGGACGUUGCGACCUGUCAAAUAAUAUCCUAAGUAUUUGGCUAAUUUGUCUGUUUUUAGGCAGUACUGAAAGGUAUUUCCUUUAACAGUUUUAGCCGUUUACAUACUGGAUAUAAUUGACAGUAACGAAUCAUGGUGUUGAGCCACUUACUUUGUAAGUGUCCUUUAUGGCUGUUUGCAAGUGGGUUGGUUAAUUAGUUUUAGUCGGAUUUUGGUCCGUCUAACUAUUCCGCCUACUGUUGGUAAACUGUUCCUUGGACAGUGCUUAUAACACCGGUCGGCAGCGAUUCAGGUUCAGGCUCUUAUCCGACCCGUCUUGAAACACGGACCAAGGAGUUUAGCGUGUACGCAAGUCAUUGGGUGUAUAAAACCCAAAGG